GCCGAUGUGGUGGAAUUGGUAGACACGCCACCUUGAGGGGGUGGUGGCCUAGGCUGUGCCGGUUCGAGUCCGGCCAUCGGUACCA
rnacentral:tRNA from 1 species